GAAAGACUCAGCGGUAGCGGUAGAGUGUCACCUUGACGUGGUGAAAGUCAUCAGUUCGAGCCUGAUUCG
rnacentral:tRNA from 1 species